rnacentral:tRNA from 29 species
GGAGCGAUGACCGAGUGGCCGAAGGUGCUCCCCUGCUAAGGGAGUAUGGGGUGUAGAGCCUCAUCGAGGGUUCGAAUCCCUCUCGCUCCGCCA